UUUGGUGCUAAUAUUACAGCUACUCCAGAGAAAUUUUUUGAGAAGCAAUGGCAUAGGGUAUAACACAUUCACUGCUAGAAAACAUUGUUUUCUGAGUUAAAAUCUGAAAAUAACAGAAACUCUAAGAUUUAACAUUCUAGUUCUUAAUCCUAUUAGAACCAUUCUGUCCAGAGAAUGGUCUUCAAAUGAUACAUAUGUAACUUUAAAUUAGCUGUGCCCGAAUAAAAUAAUGUUUUACUAUAUGAAAUCUUAGUACAGGCUUAAAGUUGGCAUGGGGUAAUUUAAAAAGAUCAAAUAGUAUACAAAUCUGAGUAAUAUUUUUGAUAACUGUUGUUAGAUAAAACCAAAACAGAAGGUAAUAUUAGCCAAAAAAGUCAGAAUCUCUUUCAUUUGCCCUUCAAGUGCAUUUAGAAUUUUUAAGUGACUUAAAAACAACAAAACUGUUAGUUUUGAAUCUUCAAGAAAUAUUUUU
rnacentral:lncRNA from 1 species